CCUACGGGGCGCAGCAGUGGGGAAUAUUGGGCAAUGGAGGAAACUCUGACCCAGCAACGCCGCGUGAAUGAUGAAGGUCUUCGGAUUGUAAAGUUCUUUUCUAAGGGAAGAAGAAAGUGACGGUACCUUAGGAAUAAGCCUCGGCUAACUACGUGCCAGCAGCCGCGGUAAUACGUAGGAGGCAAGCGUUAUCCGGAAUGACUGGGCGUAAAGGGUGCGUAGGUGGUUUGACAAGUUGGUAGCGUAACUCCGGGGCUCAACCUCGGCACUACUACCAAAACUGUUGGACUUGAGUGCAGGAGGGG
rnacentral:rRNA from 1 species